rnacentral:misc_RNA from 1 species
GGGAGUAGUCGGGGGGUUAGAGGUCCCUUUCCUUUGAAGCAAUUCGAAGGUUCAGCAAAUCCUCUUCAUGGCUGGACUCAAAACUUGGCUAGGAGUUGAAACUACGCUUAAAGUUCAGAUGUGGAUUCCGUCGAACUCGUGCCCAUCGCUAUGCUUUUUUUAGUGAAUCAGGCCAGGCGGGGAACUGAGCAACCUUAAAUUAGAAAGUGCAUGUUCGGUGGAUACAUGGGGGAGGGAUUAUGUUUGAAUUUUAAACGCAAGCCUCUUCAAACCAAGUAACUCCC